AUUCGUUAUUUUUCGAGGCUCGGCCAACCGAGUCCGCGGCGUUGGCUAUCAACAGUGCAGAACAGCAACGACAAUAACUCCAGGGGCGUAUGAUGGGGGCACGCCCACAUUCGGCAGCCCCAAACAUCGAGCACAUUUUGCCGGUGCCCCAACAUCGAACGUCGUGCUCCCUGCACAGCUGCAAAUCGCACUCGGACAUCGUGGGGGCCCGAUGGGGAAACAAAUUUGAAUUCAAUGAAAGAUGAAAUCAUUAAGUUUUCAGGCAAUUGAAGGCGGCUGCAAAUGCGGUUGGCUUUAAUCGUGCUGGAGUCGCACAAUGGGACUCGGAUCGGAUCGCAUUGGGUUGGGCUUGGUCCGGAGGAGGCGAUGAGAUUAUGACACCGGCCAGACAUUCACCGAAAAACGCUGAGGAGGAAGUGGAGUCGCCGAAUCAAGAACUCAAUUAGGGAAUGCCUAAAGUUGCCGAAAAGAGCCAUUGACUAAUUCGAAAUGAAAUGGAAGGCUAUCCCAUUGAAAAUUCUGUUUUUAGCUUCCACGCAAAUAAGAAAAAUGUCAAGAUCAAUAUG
ensembl:ncRNA lncRNA:CR44853 long non-coding RNA:CR44853